rnacentral:rRNA from 1 species
AUUGAACGCUGGCGGCAGGCCUAACACAUGCAAGUCGAACGAGUGGCGGACGGGUGAGUAAUGUCUGGGAAACUGCCUGAUGGAGGGGGAUAACUACUGGAAACGGUAGCUAAUCCCGCCUACCAUCAGAUGUGCCCAGAUGGGAUUAGCUAGUUGGUGGGGUAACGGCUCACCAGGGCCACGAUCCCUAGCUGGUCUGAGAGGAUGACCAGCAAAACUGGAACGGAGACACGGUCCAGAAGCCUACGGGAGGAAGAAGUGGGGAAGAUUGCACAAUGGGCGCAAGCCUGAUGCAGCCAGGCCGCGUGUAUGAAGAAGGCCGUCGGGUUGUAAAGUACGUUCAGCGGGGAGGCGUUACCCGCAGAAGAAGCACCGGCUAACUCCGUGCCAGCAGCCGCGGUAAUUC